CCUACGGGAGACAGCAGUGAGGAAUAUUGGUCAAUGUACGAGAGUCUGAACCAGCCAAGUAGCGUGAAGGAUGACUGCCCUAUGGGUUGUAACCUUCUUUUAUAUGGGAAUAAAAUGUUCCACGUGUGGGAUUUUGUAUGUACCAUAUGAAUACGGAUCGGCUAACUCCUUGCCAGCAGCCACGGUAAUACGGAGGUUCCGAGCGUACGCCGGAUUUAUUGGGUUUAAAGGGUGCGUAGGCGCAAUGCCAGGUCAGCGGUAAAAUCGCGGGGCUCAACCUCGCUCCGCCGUUGAAACUGGCGUUCUUGAGUGGGCGAGAGGUAUGCGGAAUGCGUGGUGUAGCGGUGAAAUGCAUAGAUAUCACGCAGAACUCCGAUUGCGAAGGCAGCAUACCGGCGCCCAACUGACGCUGAAGCACGAAAGCGUGGGUAUCGAACAGGAUUAGAUACCCCGGUAGUC
rnacentral:rRNA from 1 species